rnacentral:rRNA from 1 species
CCACGCUGUAAACGAUGGAUACUAGGUGUGGGGGGUCUGACCCCCUCCGUGCCGCAGUUAACACAAUAAGUAUCCCACCUGGGGAGUACGAUCGCAAGGUUGAAACUCAAAGGAAUUGACGGGGGCCCGCACAAGCGGUGGAGUAUGUGGUUUAAUUCGAAGCAACGCGAAGAACCUUACCAGGGCUUGACAUCCUACUAACGAAGUAGAGAUACAUUAGGUGCCCUUCGGGGAAAGUAGAGACAGGUGGUGCAUGGUUGU